rnacentral:rRNA from 1 species
UUACUCCUACGGGAGGUAGCAGUGAGGAAUAUUGGUCAAUGGCCGAGAGGCUGAACCAGCCAAGUCGCGUGAGGGAAGACGGCCCUACGGGUUGUAAACCUCUUUUGUCGGGGAGCAAAGCGAACCACGUGUGGUUCAUUGAGAGUACCCGAAGAAAAAGCAUCGGCUAACUCCGUGCCAGCAGCCGUGGUAAUACGGAGGAUGCGAGCGUUAUCCGGAUUUAUUGGGUUUAAAGGGUGCGUAGGCGGAUUGAUAAGUUAGAGGUGAAAUGUCCGAGCUCAACUCGGGAACUGCCUCUAAUACUG